UGGGAGAAUCCUUAAAGCUCAGGAGGGAUAGCGCCAUAGAUGACAAAAGGAAAAUGGAGCUGGUUGGUUCAUAUAUAUACAUACAGAAAGGUUCCAUUCGUCUAAUGCGCUAUCUAUCCUGAGUUUCACGGUUUCUUCCU
rnacentral:pre_miRNA from 1 species